UACCAGCACCCCGAGUGGUCGGGACGAUUGUUGGGCCUAAAGCAUCCGUAGCCGGUCCUACAAGUCUUCCGUUAAAUCCACCUGCUUAACAGAUGGGCUGCGGAAGAUACUAUAGGGCUAGGAGGCGGGAGAGGCAAGCGGUACUCAGUGGGUAGGGGUAAAAUCCUCUGAUCCAUUGAAGACCACCAGUGGCGAAGGCGGCUUGCCAGAACGCGCUCGACGGUGAGGGAUGAAAGCUGGGGGAGCAAACCGG
rnacentral:rRNA from 1 species